rnacentral:rRNA from 1 species
CAGUAGCCGCGGUAAUACGAGGGGGGCAAGCGUUGUUCGGAAUUAUUGGGCGUAAAGGGUGCGUAGGCGGCUUGACAAGUCUUGUGUGAAAUCUAUGGGCUCAACCCAUAGUCUGCACGGGAAACUGUCGGGCUUGAGAAUGGGAGAGGUGAGUGGAAUUUCCGGUGUAACGGUGAAAUGCGUAGAUAUCGGAAGGAACACCUGUGGCGAAAGCGGCUCACUGGACCAUUUCUGACGCUGAUGCACGAAAGCUAGGGGAGCAAACAGGAUUAGAUACCCCCGUAGUCCCUGUCUCUUAUAC